rnacentral:rRNA from 1 species
UAAAAAAAGGUAAGCUACUAAGAGCGAAUGGUGGAUGCCUUGACUGGUAAAGGCGAUGAAGGACGUACUAGACUGCGAUAAGCUACGGGGAGCUGUCAAGAAGCUUUGAUCCGUAGAUUUCCGAAUGGGGCAACCCAAUGUAUAGAGAUAUACAUUACCUAUAUAGGAGCGAACGAGGGGAAUUGAAACAUCUUAGUACCCUCAGGAAAAGAAAUCAAUAGAGAUUGCGUCAGUAGCGGCGAGCGAAAGCGCAAGAGGGCAAACCCAGUGCUUGCACUGGGGGUUGUAGGACUGCAAUGUGCAAGAGCUGAGUUUAGCAGAACAUUCUGGAAAGUAUAGCCAUAGAGGGUGAUAGUCCCGUAUGCGAAAAACAAAGCUUAGCUAGCAGUAUCCUGAGUAGGGCGGGACACGAGGAAUCCUGUCUGAAUCCGGGUCGACCACGAUCCAACCCUAAAUACUAAUACCAGAUCGAUAGUGCACAAGUACCGUGAGGGAAAGGUGAAAAGAACUGAGGUGAUCAGAGUGAAAUAGAACCUGAAACCAUUUGCUUACAAUCAUUCAGAGCACUAUGUAGCAAUACAGUGUGAUGGACUGCCUUUUGCAUAAUGAGCCUGCGAGUUGUGGUGUCUGGCAAGGUUAAGCAAACGCGAAGCCGUAGCGAAAGCGAGUCUGAAUAGGGCGCUUAGUCAGAUGCUGCAGACCCGAAACGAAGUGAUCUAUCCAUGAGCAAGUUGAAGCUAGUGUAAGAACUAGUGGAGGACUGAACCCAUAGGCGUUGAAAAGCCCCGGGAUGACUUGUGGAUAGGGGUGAAAGGCCAAUCAAACUUCGUGAUAGCUGGUUCUCUCCGAAAUAUAUUUAGGUAUAGCGUUGUGUCGUAAUAUAAGGGGGUAGAGCACUGAAUGGGCUAGGGCAUACACCAAUGUACCAAACCCUAUCAAACUCCGAAUACCUUAUAUGUAAUCACAGCAGUCAGGCGGCGAGUGAUAAAAUCCGUCGUCAAGAGGGAAACAACCCAGACUACCAGCUAAGGUCCCUAAAUCUUACUUAAGUGGAAAACGAUGUGAAGUUACUUAAACAACCAGGAGGUUGGCUUAGAAGCAGCCAUCCUUUAAAGAAAGCGUAAUAGCUCACUGGUCUAGUGAUUUUGCGCGGAAAAUAUAACGGGGCUAAAGUAAGUACCGAAGCUGUAGACUUGCACACAACUUAGAUUAUUUAAGUUUAGAAUAUGAGAAACUAAGUUAUGUUUAGUUAUAUUUUUACUGAUUUUUAUAGAGUAAAGAUAGAAAUAAAACUUAGUAAAAUCAGUAAAAAUAUUCUUAGGCUAAAGUUAAGUAGUUUAAGUUGUGUGCAAGUGGUAGGAGAGCGUUCUAUUUGCGUCGAAGGUAUACCGGUAAGGAGUGCUGGAGCGAAUAGAAGUGAGCAUGCAGGCAUGAGUAGCGAUAAUUAAUGUGAGAAUCAUUAACGCCGUAAACCCAAGGUUUCCUACGCGAUGCUCGUCAUCGUAGGGUUAGUCGGGUCCUAAGUCGAGUCCGAAAGGGGUAGACGAUGGCAAAUUGGUUAAUAUUCCAAUACCAACAUUAGUGUGCGAUGGAAGGACGCUUAGGGCUAAGGGGGCUAGCGGAUGGAAGUGCUAGUCUAAGGUUGUAGGAGGUUAUACAGGCAAAUCCGUAUAACAAUACUCCGAGAACUGAAAGGCUUUUUGAAGUCUUCGGAUGGAUAGAAGAACCCCUGAUGCCGUCGAGCCAAGAAAAGUUUCUAAGUUUAGCUAAUGUUGCCCGUACCGUAAACCGACACAGGUGGGUGGGAUGAGUAUUCUAAGGCGCGUGGAAGAACUCUCUUUAAGGAACUCUGCAAAAUAGCACCGUAUCUUCGGUAUAAGGUGUGGUUAGCUUCGUACUAGGAUUUACUCCGAAAGCGAAGAAACUUACAACAAAGAGUCCCUCCCGACUGUUUACCAAAAACACAGCACUCUGCUAACUCGUAAGAGGAUGUAUAGGGUGUGACGCCUGCCCGGUGCUCGAAGGUUAAUUGAUGGGGUUAGCAUUAGCGAAGCUCUUGAUCGAAGCCCGAGUAAACGGCGGCCGUAACUAUAACGGUCCUAAGGUAGCGAAAUUCCUUGUCGGUUAAAUACCGACCUGCAUGAAUGGCGUAACGAGAUGGGAGCUGUCUCAAAGAGGGAUCCAGUGAAAUUGUAGUGGAGGUGAAAAUUCCUCCUACCCGCGGCAAGACGGAAAGACCCCGUGGACCUUUACUACAGCUUGACACUGCUACUUGGAUAAGAAUGUGCAGGAUAGGUGGGAGGCUUUGAGUAUAUGACGCCAGUUGUAUAUGAGCCAUUGUUGAGAUACCACUCUUUCUUAUUUGGGUAGCUAACCAGCUUGAGUUAUCCUCAAGUGGGACAAUGUCUGGUGGGUAGUUUGACUGGGGCGGUCGCCUCCCAAAUAAUAACGGAGGCUUACAAAGGUUGGCUCAGAACGGUUGGAAAUCGUUCGUAGAGUAUAAAGGUAUAAGCCAGCUUAACUGCAAGACAUACAAGUCAAGCAGAGACGAAAGUCGGUCUUAGUGAUCCGGUGGUUCUGUGUGGAAGGGCCAUCGCUCAAAGGAUAAAAGGUACCCCGGGGAUAACAGGCUGAUCUCCCCCAAGAGCUCACAUCGACGGGGAGGUUUGGCACCUCGAUGUCGGCUCAUCGCAUCCUGGGGCUGGAGCAGGUCCCAAGGGUAUGGCUGUUCGCCAUUUAAAGCGGUACGCGAGCUGGGUUCAGAACGUCGUGAGACAGUUCGGUCCCUAUCUGCCGUGGGCGUAAGAAGAUUGAAGAGAUUUGACCCUAGUACGAGAGGACCGGGUUGAACAAACCACUGGUGUAGCUGUUGUUCUGCCAAGAGCAUCGCAGCGUAGCUAAGUUUGGAAAGGAUAAACGCUGAAAGCAUCUAAGCGUGAAGCCAACUCUAAGAUGAAUCUUCUCUAAGCUCUCUAGAAGACUACUAGUUUGAUAGGCUGGGUGUGUAAUGGAUGAAAGUCCUUUAGCUGACCAGUACUAAUAGAGCGUUUGGCUUAUCUUUAAUAAAGCAU